AAGACUGUGUCACUGGAGGUCAUGCACUUUAUUUUUAAUUUAUAUUAUUUACGGUUUUCUUAUUAAUCCAUUAAAUCUUUAAUUAGACGUGUUUCAAUAAAUUAAAACGUCUUAAUGACUGUAUUAGUAUAGUCUAACUACAUGAGUCAAGAGGGAGCUAUCUAAAGCAAGAAGUGUACACAAAAACAAUUUUGGAGGAAUUAUGCAGCCGUGUUCAGGAGGCUGUUUCAAAAAUAAAUUAACGACGCUGUGCACAUUAUCUUACUUGAGCCUUUAUUAGACGUCGAACGUGUAUUAGAGUCGGUGGUAGACAACUUGAACACCUGAUGUGAAUAAAGCUUGAUUUAUGUACA